rnacentral:lncRNA from 1 species
GGCGGGGGCCGGGCCGGGCCGGCGGCGGGGGGCUCGCUCGCCCUCCCUGCCGGAAUGAGCGCCGCAGGGCGGGGCGGCAGCGGCCGCGCAGGACGCGGGGCGGCGCUGCGCUCCUCUUGUGUCCGGAGACAACGGCAGCGACAGCGACAGCGGCGGCGGCUGGCGGGGUCAGCGCCCAGGGACGCUGCCCUUCCUCCAUCCCCCUCGUCCCGCUCCGAGCCAGUGCUGCAAGCUGAUCGCCUAAGAACAUGGAAUAUAAUAUGGAUGCAGAUGCUUGAACAUAAUUUCUUCUGUACUCUGCAGAUUGGUAGCUUGAAUCAUUGAUUGAUAAGAAAUUAUACACAGGACUAAUACCAAGGAAAUAUUCUGUCUGUUCAUGUUGGGUUUAAUGAAAAUGAU